CUAUUGUGGCUAAACAUGCCUAGCCCGCACUAUUGCACUACUGCACUAUCCUUUGCCCCACUAAAACUUAACCUUAACACACACAUCACACUCCAGCGCCGCACCCUCCAGCUUUCACUCUCCAGGUUUCUCACACUUCUCACGCUCCCACUAGAGGCUCAACACUCUUUGUCGAUGGCAGAUUCCAUUACAGUCGCACCCUCAUCCAGCCCACAAUGCGCUCGUGCAUUUUAUUUUGCGUUGCUGCUUUUCUAGCACUGUCAUGGUCUCCAUCUAGCGUCUUCAUUGUCUCUUCGGUUUUAGCCCCAUCGUCUCCGUCAUCUCACCAUCCAGCAUCUCUCUACCGCUCUUUGAUUUCUUUUGCCAUAAGCUUUGUGCAGUGGCUGCUGCUGCUACCGGUUGCAUCACUGGCGGUCCUGCUUGAUGUUCUUGUCACUGUUGAGAUGGCCACUGGAGUGAACAAGAUGCGGCAAUUUUAGUACCAGGAGACAUAAUCAACAUUAAAUUAGGAGAUAUCAUUCCGGCCGAUGCUUGUCUUCUCGAGGACAAUCUUCUAAGUGUUGAUUAGUUUGCUUUAACAGAAGAAUCUCUUCUAGUGACCAAGAACCCCACUGAUGAAGUAUUUUCUAGAUCAACAGUUAAGAAGGAUGAGAUAGAAGCAGUUGUGAUGGCCACUGGUCUACACACCUCCUUUGGUAUAGCGGCUUACUUGGUGGACAGCACUAACCAAGUUGGACACUUCUAGAAAGUGCUUACAGCAAUUGGUAACUUCUUCAUUUGCUCAAAUGCACGAAAUGUUUGAUGACUAUUGAGGAAAUGGCUAGGAUGGAUGUCCUACGCAGUGACAAAACUGUAACCUUGACAUUGAAUAAGCUCAGUGUUGAUAGAAACUUGAUUGAGGUAUUUGCUAAGGGUGUUGAGAAGGAGUAUGUUAUCCUUCUUGCUGCAAGGGCCUCUAGGACCGAAAAUCAAGAUGCUAUAGAUGCUGCAAUUGUUAGGAUGCUUGCUGAUCCAAAGGAGGCUUAAGCUGGAAUUAAGAGGACUGCUCUAACAUACAUUGAUUUUGAUGGAAAUUGGCACCAUGUGAGCAAAGAGGCUCCGGAGCAAGUAAAAACCUAUUUUAUUGGCACCUUCUUAUGAUGGUUAUACCUCAGGUAAAUUCUGGCUGAAAUUGAGGGACUUGAGCAAAACUCUGAAAAAGGCUGACAAAAGGACUGCUGAUGCUGUUGGAAUCUGACCUCCCUGCACUCGAAAUGGAUUUUCUGGAGCUACAGAACUCCAAUUGGCACGCU